AACGAACGCUGGCGGCGCGCCUAAUACAUGCAAGUCGAGCGAGAAGACGUAGCAAUACGUUUGUAAAGCGGCGAACGGGUGAGGAAUACAUGGGUAACCUACCCUAGAGUGGGGAAUAACUAGCCGAAAGGUUAGCUAAUACCGCGUACGCUCCUUGGACUUCGGUUCAGGGAGGAAAGCGAUACCGUGGGUAUCGCGCUCUUGGAUGGGCUCAUGUCCUAUCAGCUUGUUGGGAGGUAACGGCUCACCAAGGCUUCGACGGGUAGCUGGUCUGAGAGGACGAUCAGCCACACUGGCACUGCGACACGGGCCAGACUCCUACGGGAGGCAGCAGUAAGGAAUAUUGCGCAAUGGGCGAAAGCCUGACGCAGCGACGCCGCGUGGGGGAUGAAGGUCUUCGGAUUGUAACCCCUUUCGGGAGGGAAGAUGGAACGAGCAAUCGUUCGGACGGUACCUCCAGAAGCAGCCACGGCUAACUUCGUGCCAGCAGCCGCU
rnacentral:rRNA from 1 species